rnacentral:misc_RNA from 1 species
GGUAGUAUUGUCGGUUUGGAU